AACCACUGGGGAAACAGCUUAUCAGCAGACCCAAUCCAAGGAACUCACAACAGUUCUGUUAGCAGGAAACAAGGGCGGAGGGACUCGGCAGUUCAAAGGCUCAGGGAGCCUACCAUCUGGGGGCCGAGCUAUGGACAAACCCCUAAUUACAACCCUCAGGGCCAGUGCUGGGAGGACAGGGGGGGAGACCACCGGCUCCGGAACGCAGAAGGGCGCUGAAUUCGGCGUGGAGGACAGGCAGGGGGCCAGAGUGGUCCUUGUGUUAACGUAAAAAAACCAU